AUUGAACGCUGGCGGCAUGCCUUACACAUGCAAGUCGAACGGUAACGGGCCUUCGGGUGCCGACGAGUGGCGAACGGGUGAGUAAUGCAUCGGAACGUACCUUUCAGUGGGGGAUAACGUAGCGAAAGUUACGCUAAUACCGCAUAUUCUGUGAGCAGGAAAGCAGGGGACCGCAAGACCUUGCGCUGAUUGAGCGGCCGAUGUCAGAUUAGCUAGUUGGUGAGGUAAAGGCUCACCAAGGCGACGAUCUGUAGCGGGUCUGAGAGGAUGACCCGCCACACUGGAACUGAGACACGGUCCAGACUCCUACGGGAGGCAGCAGUGGGGAAUUUUGGACAAUGGGGGCAACCCUGAUCCAGCCAUGCCGCGUGAGUGAAGAAGGCCUUCGGGUUGUAAAGCUCUUUCGGUCGGGAAGAAAUCGCAUGGGUUAAUACCCUGUGCGGAUGACGGUACCGGCAUAAGAAGCACCGGCUAACUACGUGCCAGCCGCCGCCGUAAGAC
rnacentral:rRNA from 1 species